ACAAGCGGUGGAUGAUGUGGUUAAUUCGAUGCAACGCGAAAACCUUACCACCUUUGACAUGUACGGAAUCCUUUAGAGAUAGAGGAGUGCUCGAAAGAGAGCCGUAACACAGGUGCUGCAUGGCUGUCGUCAGCUCGUGUCGUGAGAUGUUGGGUUAAGUCCCGCAACGAGCGCAACCCUUGUCAUUAGUUGCUACAUUCAGUUGGGCACUCUAAUGAGACUGCCGGUGACAAACCGGAGGAAGGUGGGGAUGACGUCAAGUUCUCAUGGCCCUUAUAGGUGGGGCUACACACGUCAUACAAUGGAUGGUACAAAGGGUCGCCAACCCGCGAGGGGGAGCCAAUCCCAUAAAGCCAUUCGUAGUCCGGAUCGCAGUCUGCAACUCGACUGCGUGAAGUCGGAAUCGCUAGUAAUCGUGGAUCAGAAUGUCACGGUGAAUACGUUCCCGGGUCUU
rnacentral:rRNA from 1 species